rnacentral:rRNA from 1 species
CUGGAGAAGGUCCCAAGGGUCCGGCUGUUCGCCGGUUAAAGUGGUACGCGAGCUGGGUUCAGAACGUCGCGAGACAGUUCGGUCCUUAUCCACUGUGGGCGCAGGAGAAUUGAGGGGUUCAGACCUUAGUACGAGAGGACCGGGUCUGACGAACCGCUGGUGUUCCAGUUGUCGUGUCAACGGCAGUGCUGGGUAGCUAUGUUCGGAAAGGAUAAGCGCUGAAAGCAUCUAAGCGCCAAGCCUAUCCCAAGAUGAGUUCUCCCUGAAGGGUCGUGGUAGACCACCACGUUGAUAGGUCUCCGGUGCAAGUGCAGUAAUGUAUUCAGCUGAGAGAUACUAAUAACCCGUUCGGCUUGAUCAUUUACUUUUCU